GAUGAACGCUGGCUACAGGCUUAACACAUGCAAGUCGAGGGGAAACGGCAUUGGGUGCUUGCACCGAAUGGACGUCGACCGGCGCACGGGUGAGUAACGCGUAUCCAACCUUCCCGUUACUGCGGGAUAACCUGCCGAAAGGCAGACUAAUACCGCAUGUUCUUCGAUGACGGCAUCAGAUUCGAAGCAAAGAUCCGUCGGUAACGGAGGGGGAUGCGUCUGAUUAGCUUGUUGGCGGGGCGACGGCCCACCAAGGCGACGAUCAGUAGGGGUUCUGAGAGGAAGGUCCCCCACAUUGGAACUGAGACACGGUCCAAACUCCUACGGGAGGCAGCAGUGAGGAAUAUUGGUCAAUGGGCGGAAGCCUGAACCAGCCAAGUAGCGUGCAGGAGGACGGCCCUACGGGUUGUAAACUGCUUUUAUGCGGGGAUAAAGUGAGGGACGCGUCCCUUUUUGCAGGUACCGCAUGAAUAAGGACCGGCUAAUUCCGUGCCAGCAGCCGCGGUAAUACGGAAGGUCCGGGCGUUAUCCGGAUUUAUUGGGUUUAAAGGGAGCGUGGGCCGGGGAUUAAGUGUGUUGUGAAAUGUAGGCGCCCAACGUCUGACUUGCAGCGCAUACUGGUUCCCUUGAGUACGCGCAACGCCGGCGGAAUUCGUCGUGUAGCGGUGAAAUGCUUAGAUAUGACGAAGAACCCCGAUUGCGAAGGCAGCCGGCGGGAGCGCAACUGACGCUGAAGCUCGAAGGUGCGGGUAUCGAACAGG
rnacentral:rRNA from 1 species